CACGCCGCCCCCGGCCCCGCGCCCUCUGCAGCCGCGCGGGGCUAAGGACGCGCGCCGCGGCUCCCCGGCCGGUCGCCCGGCGCGCAGGGCGUACUCACAAUGAGCGGGAUGGUGCGGUCCUCGCGGAGCUGCUCUGGCCUCCCGCCGGCCCUCUGAGCGCCCCGGCCGCCGGAGGAUGCUGCGUGGGCUCGGUUGUCCUGCCAUAAGUAGUAGAAAGUGCCCAGGAUCCAGGCUACGGUCAGGAUGGCGAUGGCAUUGGCGCGGAUCUUCCUCAUGGUGGGCGGGCGGGCGCCCCGAGUGGGGGGCCCGGCCGGCUUGCUCUCGGGGCCGGGGUGAGGGCGCUCGCAGCCCCAGCUGUUUGUUUUCGCUCGCGCCUGGCUGCUCAGUCCUGCAGAGCAGAAAAGGGAGAGAGGUGGGGGGUGGGGGGUGAUAGGGAGAGACAGGAGCGCGGAGCGAUCCUCACGGUCCUAAUGCCCUUCAGCCCCGAGCGCGCGCGUCCCCCGGGCGCCCAUUCAUUGGCGCGCAGAGCCCGCCCCGCGCUCCAGUCCCCUCCGGCUGCCCGGGCCGCGGCGCACCGGCAGGGGAGCGCGGCGGGUGCGAAGCGGCGCGAGAGCGAGGCCCGGCGAGCCAGACGCCUGCGGUGGAAUGGCGACGGGCCAGAGACAGCCUCUGCUCCCACCGCUCAGCGCCCGAGCGCCCGGCGGCUGCCCCCGCGCGGCCCUGGUCGGUCCCGCCUACCUCCACCCACCCCCCGCCCGAGCGGCCCUGAGUCACCGGCUGGAGAUGCGCGACCCCGGCCCGGGCCCGCGCCGCGAAGCUGCGGUUCUGGGCUGCGCUCCGAACUGCGCUCUGGCGCGGGGCUUAAGGUGUGUUCGGCGGGGCCUUGGGAAGGGAUGGCUGGGCGGGAGGAGAGUGGAGUUUGCACGGGAAUCCUCCGCAGCCUGGGAUUCCGAGCCGCGCGAGGGCCGGCCCCGAGGAGGGAUUGGAAGCUGGUGCGCUUGACAUUCGAGGAGAGCGAAGGGGACUCGACUCUGCUUCACAGCCAGCGAAAGAGGAAUGGGGGUACAACCCCUCCACAUCUUCCAUUGGCCUGGGGCUCCCAGCUUUCAUAAGGCUUCCCUCCAGACCCUUCCCCUGCCCCCUGGGCAACCGUGAGAUAUCAUUACCACUAUUUCACCAGGAAGAAAGGAGGCCAGAGAGGCUGGAAGAUUGGCCAGAGGCCACGCGACUAAUUAGUGGUCAGAGCCCAGUCUAGAAGCCGUCUCUCCGUUUGCACUUUCCACGAAGUGCAAACACCGUGGUGAGACAGGACACAGACAUCACUGAGAUUUUACCCCAGGCCUGGAGGCAUUGAGAAUCCCGGGUGGAAUGCUCUUGUCCAGAGCAGAAGGAAAGGUGGGCUAGGAGAUCAGCACAGUGUCGGGCACAGAGCAGACUCGCAAUGAAUAGAUGUUGCCUAAACCAAGCAGGGAUCACGGAGGAAGAAAUAUUGUAUUCCAAGGGGGGGGUCUUAGAGAAGGCUUUUCAUAGAAGUUGGAUAAACUUUUGAAUAAAUUCUGAAGAGGGAGGGCAGGGGGAGGGCAGGGCGAGGUAUUAGAUUCAUGAACAGCCAGAGCAAAUGUCCAGAGGAUGGCAGUCCUUGAUGCAUUCAAGGACAAGAGCUGCUUGGUAUUGCUGGGGCCAGGAUGCUGGAAAGGGCCUGGUGGGAGUCGACUUUGGGCAGGCUGGGCGCUUGAAUGCCACGGUCAGAGUUAGCAGGGGGUUUAGUUCUUGCCUAUGCUACUGGACACUGGCUCCCACAUAGGGUCCUGACCCACUUAAGGUCCUGGCCUCUAAAUGAAGCUGCCUUAGGAAAGGGGAGGUCAGACAGCUCAUGCCUUCCCCCAACCACCCCUCAUCAGCACCACUCAUUUUCCCCUGUUUCUCCAGUGUGCGGGACUGAACCCUGCAUGUAAUAGAUGCUUAGUGCAUUUCUGUUGGAAUGAAGUAAAAUGAAGAAAGAAAACCCUAAUUAGUUUUUUGCUGCAGAAAGAUCAUCGCUGCAACUGCAGUGCCCACCUCCUGACUCAGAAAACUAACCACGAGGACACAUACACAAGUCCAAAAAUGGCCCUACCAAGAAUAUGACCCUGGAAAGAGAAUGUACAAAGAGAGUCCCACAAAGAGUAGCAGGGAGUCUGAGGCCCAAGCCACGCAGCAGUCAGGGACAACAGGAGGUGGGUGUGAAGGGGCCACUGGCCCUGGAGCAGUGGGCCAGCCUUGCUGUCAGGUGUCUCGCCUGGGGAGUUUAAUUAGGUUGCACUAGGGGCCAGGAUCCAUUUCCACAGAUAAUGCCAUAGCAUUAUCCACUGCCAAGCCAUAGCCCGGUUUCCAUGGGAGCCAUGGGGUUGACCCGGUAGUCAUGUCCUCUGUGGGAAGCCAAGAAAAGUUUGUUGCUUAAGGGUCAGGCCCACAGGCAUCUCCAAACAACAAGAAAACAUAAGGAAACUGCCCUUCUGGUGUCCCCACUUCCACACAGGCUCUCAGGUCAACCAGGUGGAAAGACUUGGGCAAUGGCCCUCUGCUGCCAUAGGCUGCCUCCCUCAGCCCAGCCUGGCCUGUGCAUGUCUAGUUGCCUUUGGUCUUGAGAAAACCAGGUGAGAGGAUGUGGGAUCCAAAGACAUCGCACCAACCCCUAGUGAGAAGCUCCAAACUCACGCCUAGGCCUGGGGAAUGAAGCUAGAACCCAGAAUCAGGCGGAUGGGGUUUCUGAUGGCUCUAGAAGGAGGGCUGUAUGAGGAGAGGGAGGCAAGGAGGAUGCAGAAUUUGGCAGGAUUUCUACAUGUCUCACCUCUUCCUCUCCAGGGGUCAGUGGUGAGGAUGCUACACCUCUGAAGCAAUUGUCACUUGUAGCUCUGUCCCAAAAAGAAGGCUGUUUCCCUGCCCCCCACCCCCGCUCCACCCACCACCAGGAAAACCCCAUAGAGACAUCGCCUCUCUGGGUGAUGUUAGACUUCAGAGCCAGCCCUUCCUUAGAUGGACAUAAUAAACUUCCCACGGUGGUGGGGCGGGUGGGGUGGGGGAUAGGGAGGCGGGUCACGACCAUGCUCAUUUGGCCAACAGAAAUUUGACGUAGGCGGAGGCUAAGUGAUGGGCCGGAAGCCACAGCACACUGGGAAGGGCCGGGAGCUAGCACCUGCCACCUCAGCUACAGCCCGUGGUCUUUCUUCCAGAUCUGGAUCCUAAAUAGGUGCGGGCCGAGGCUCAGCCCUCCAUGAGAUGGAUUUCAGUGUUCAGAGAUAACAGUAAGCAUUGUUUCCUCUCUGGUCCUAGGAAUGGAUUCCAACAGAACCCUAGAAUCAAAGCAACACCUAAGAGACUUGGUGUUGCCCAACACGCACUGAACUUGGAAAACAAGAGUGAUAAUGAUAGCUGCAGUUCACUGGGUACCCACCAGGUGCCGGCCCCUCACACACGUGAUCUCUGGAGCACGCACAACCCGCAUGCCGGGACUUGGUGACACUCUCGAUUGCCAAAGGGCCAUACAGCAGGUAAGAGGUGGGGCUGGGUUUGAGUCCAUUCUCCAUGCUACUGCCUGGGUCCC
rnacentral:lncRNA from 1 species